AGCGGUAGAGAGGUGCUUGCACCUCUUGAGAGCGGCGGACGGGUGAGUAAUGCCUAGGAAUCUGCCUGGUAGUGGGGGAUAACGCUCGGAAACGGACGCUAAUACCGCAUACGUCCUACGGGAGAAAGCAGGGGACCUUCGGGCCUUGCGCUAUCAGAUGAGCCUAGGUCGGAUUAGCUAGUUGGUGAGGUAAUGGCUCACCAAGGCGACGAUCCGUAACUGGUCUGAGAGGAUGAUCAGUCACACUGGAACUGAGACACGGUCCAGACUCCUACGGGAGGCAGCAGUGGGGAAUAUUGGACAAUGGGCGAAAGCCUGAUCCAGCCAUGCCGCGUGUGUGAAGAAGGUCUUCGGAUUGUAAAGCACUUUAAGUUGGGAGGAAGGGCAGUAAAUUAAUACUUUGCUGUUUUGACGUUACCGACAGAAUAAGCACCGGCUAACUCUGUGCCAGCAGCCGCGGUAAUACAGAGGGUGCAAGCGUUAAUCGGAAUUACUGGGCGUAAAGCGCGCGUAGGUGGUUCGUUAAGUUGGAUGUGAAAUCCCCGGGCUCAACCUGGGAACUGCAUUCAAAACUGUC
rnacentral:rRNA from 1 species